CGACAGUGGCCACGGGUCCCGGCCCCUGGAGCUUAGGAGGAGCGAACCGGGACCCGCGGCGCAGCGGAGGGCCGAGCGCCCGCUCUCUGCCAGCCCUGACGGUCUCUUUCUCUCCCACGCAGCCUGCCCGCGUCCCCGAGCCUAGGCACCGGAUCCCGGCGAGCGCGUGGACCCGGGGCCGGCGCUCCCAGGGCUCCCGAGCCAGCGAGAAGCCGAGCUGCUCCAGAAGAUGAGGAGAGCGGGGCGAGGGCGGAGCGGCCGCGCGCUCCGGGUGUGAGCGCCCACCCGCCGCCGCCUCCCGGCGCCCGGGGUCCGGCCAUGCGUGCGCCGUGAGUGCGGGCGGUCGGAGUUGUGGGCCUGCGGCUUAGGAGGUAAUGCUGGCUUGCUUUUGAGUGGCCUGGGGAGAGUGAAGAAACCCCAAAAUGGAGGACUUUUCUACCAGGACCUACGGCACCAGUGGCCUGGACAACAGACCCCUGUUUGGGGAGACGUCGGCCAAGGAGCUUUCUGUGUUGCUUUGCCUGCCCCUUCUUGGGAAUAUCGAGAGAAGCAUUGCUGGAGAGAAGAAACACAUCAGCUGGAUUUUUGAGCUGUGGUGCAUUGGAAAUCAGUGCUUGAUCCUGCUGUGGCAGAAAGAUCGAAUCGUCAAUUUAGUUGUUGGCAGCUUAACAUCUUUAUUGAUUCUAGUAACGCUGAUCAGCGCUUUUGUUUUCCCUCAUGUACCUCCAAAACCGUUGAAUAUAUUUUUUGCCGUCUGCAUCUCUUUGAGUAGUAUUACUGCCUGCAUACUUAUCUACUGGUAUCGACAAGGAGACUUAGAACCAAAAUUUAGAAAACUCAUUUAUUAUAUCAUAUUUUCUAUCAUCAUGUUAUGUAUAUGUGCAAACCUAUACUUCCAUGAUGUGGGAAGGUGAGGCUACCCAGGAGAAAUACUUACCAGGACUCUUCAAUUUGACAAAAUAGGACAGCGAAUAAUUGUUGGAUAAGAAGGAAGUUUUGUUUUUUGAAAUUGCCUGGAGAGGAAGUAUAUUGUACCUGCCAGUUAAUGCACUAAAUGAAAGGCAAAUUCUUAAUACCCCCAACUUUUUCGGGUAAUUAUAUAUUGCAAAACAUGUAAUAAAUGCUCAUGGUAUCAAGGAUAGGCAACUUUAUCUCCUUAUCCGUUUAGUUUUACUUCAAAGUGCUAACUUGUAAACUAUUGACAGUGGUUUCUGAUGGGGUAAAAAUUGCUUAGCUUCUGGUGGGUUUUGUUACUAUGCUUAUCCAUAUUCCCUUUAAAGUAGUAAAAAACCUGUAGUGAAUGUUAACUCUUUUAAUGCUUUCCUCUUUACCUUGCCUAAAUCAGCUCCCACUGCCAACAGUGUAACCACAAUGUCCUAUGUCUCUGUAUUUGUAUGCUGGUCAAAUCUCAAAGUAAUGGUAUUUAAUUUUAAAGUUCAUUUGAUAGACCUAUUGAUAUGACUUCUUUAAAUUACUACCCGGCCUAUUUGAGUCUGACAUUUAGAGAUGAAUAGUACUGUUUUGAAACCACAGCAGUUAAAAACUUCAGUGACCUCAAACUUUUCUCAGUAGCUGAAGUGAAUGAAAUUGCCUACUAACAAAUAACACUUAGCAUAGGGAUCUACACAGUUCAAUUCAAACUCCCAUAGUCCACUCAACUACACACUGUUGUAGAACUGGACCUCGGAUGACGUAUUUAAAGGAGAUAAAAAGUCAUAGCAGCAAUAAUAUGUGUGGGUUAAGCACUGUAACUAUUUCAAAUGGUAAAUUAAACUUCCUGAGGGUGAGUUGUUCCUACUUCCUUAAAGAUGCUGUGAUUAACCGUGUGGCUUCUUUGCUUGAACUGCCUGUUUCUAAGA